AUUGAACGCUGGCGGCAUGCCUUACACAUGCAAGUCGAACGGCAGCACGGGUGCUUGCACCUGGUGGCGAGUGGCGAACGGGUGAGUAAUACAUCGGAACGUACCUUAUCGUGGGGGAUAACGCAGCGAAAGUUGCGCUAAUACCGCAUACGCCCUGAGGGGGAAAGCGGGGGACCGUAAGGCCUCGCGCGAUUAGAGCGGCCGAUGUCUGAUUAGCUUGUUGGUGAGGUAAAAGCUCACCAAGGCGAGGAUCAGUAGCUGGUCUGAGAGGACGAUCAGCCACGCUGGGACUGGGACACGGCCCAGACUCCUACGGGAGGCAGCAGUGGGGAAUUUUGGACAAUGGGGGCAACCCUGAUCCAGCAAUGCCGCGUGAGUGAAGAAGGCCUUCGGGUUGUAAAGCUCUUUUGUCAGGGAAGAAACAGCAGCUCUAACACAGUCUGCGAAUGACGGUACCUGAAGAAUAAGCACCGGCUAACUACGUGCCAGCAGCCGCCGUAA
rnacentral:rRNA from 1 species